UGGGCCUACGGGGGGCAGCAGUGAGGAAUAUUGGUCAAUGGGCGCGAGCCUGAACCAGCCAAGUCGCGUGAGGGAUGACGGUCCUACGGAUUGUAAACCUCUUUUGCCGGGGAGCAAGCGUGCGUUCGUGAACACACGUCGAGAGUACCCGGAGAAAAAGCAUCGGCUAACUCCGUGCCAGCAGCCGCGGUAAUACGGAGGAUGCGAGCGUUAUCCGGAUUUAUUGGGUUUAAAGGGUGCGUAGGCGGGAUGCCAAGUCAGCGGUAAAAUGUCCGGGCUCAACCCGGGCCGGCCGUUGAAACUGG
rnacentral:rRNA from 1 species